rnacentral:rRNA from 1 species
CGGAGGCAGCAGUAAGGAAUAUUGCACAAUGGGCGCAAGCCUGAUGCAGCAACGCCGCGUGAGUGAUGAAGGCCUUCGGGUCGUAAAACUCUGUCCUAUGGGAAGAAUAAAAUGACGGUACCAUAGGAGGAAGCCCCGGCUAACUACGUGCCAGCAGCCGCGGUAAUACGUAGGGGGCAAGCGUUAUCCGGAAUCACUGGGCGUAAAGGGUGCGUAGGUGGCUGAUCAAGCCAGAGGUGAAAGGCAUUGGCUCAACCAAUGUAAGCCUUUGGAACUGAUCGGCUUGAGUGCAGGAGAGGUAAGUGGAAUUCCUAGUGUAGAGGUGAAAUUCGUAGAUAUUAGGAGGAACACCAGUGGCGAAGGCGACUUACUGGACUGUAACUGACACUGAGGCACGAAAGCGUGGGUAGCGAACAGGAUUAGAUACCCCUGUAGUCC